rnacentral:rRNA from 1 species
CUUGGCGACCUUAGCGCUGUGGUCCCACCUGAAUCCAUGCCGAACUCAGAAGUGAAACGCAGCAGCGCCG